GGAAUGUUGGAGGGAAUCCCAAAACUAUACGCAAAUCUUCAGCUGAGCCUCAUAUUUAACUGCUCCUGCUGUCCUGCAGAAUAUCUGAACUCAGGCUUCCCUUGACUGCAAGAAAAGAGUAGGGCACAUGCCAAGGGUGGUUCUAGCAGAGGAGGAAGAAGUAAUUGAUUCCUUUCCAUGUUCCUGCUCUUCAUGAAGCUGAUCAAAUGUUUUCAUCUAGGGUGAAAGUGGUUGCUGCACAGAACUGUUGUAUACUGGAGGAGCAAUAGCAUCAUUUAUAAACUAUAAAAGUGGUUCCUGGUCUCACUUAGCAACGUCACACAUGCAACAGCCCUCACCUGCCUGGCAGCACAAAUACCCCACCAUUGCACUGUGAAAGGGUGAACCAUCACAGCAUUCAUUGUGGAGGACAGAAUGCCAUCAAGACUAAAGUGGGAGGAUCAGGACCUGUCAUGCUCCUCAUCUUUUACUGAACGUGAAAGACACUACAGCUCUGAAAAUGAACUUGCUCUGGCUCAACAAAACAGGAGGAAUCUCACCAACAUAAUGCACACUGGGAAAAUCAACCCGGACACUGCCUGAACUCGGGAUUCAUUUUUAGAGUGAUAAAAAUCAAACAAGUUGAGAUAGUAUACUGUCUAGAAAUGCUUUCAUUUGAGAUCAUCUUUUUUUAAAAGAAAGAGAAUGAUUUAACACAUAAUUCAGGAUGGUGGUUAUAUCUGAGAAGGCCACAGGGGAAUAUGAUAGGAGAGAGACAAGAACUGGUGAUGUUCUUAUUCAUGAAUUGGGUGGUGGGUCAAAAAGCAGUAGAAGGGCAAGAUAUCAAGCCAACUUCUGGAUAGAACUUCUGACUUCAUAACAAUAUUGCUGUCUUUUUUAAGCAAGACAUCUUAUUCCAAUAAUCAAUUAAUUUACUAGCAAGCAGAUAUCCUAUUCUCUAUACUGUUUAGGAAUAAAAAUCCCAAAAUAAAUGAAGUCAUGUGCCACAGUG